rnacentral:rRNA from 1 species
GACGAACGCUGGCGGCGUGCUUAACACAUGCAAGUCGAACGGUGAAGGGAUCAGCUUGCUGGUUCUGGAUGAGUGGCGAACGGGUGAGUAACACGUGAGUAACCUGCCCCCUUCUUCUGGAUAACCGCAUGAAAGUGUGGCUAAUACGGGAUAUUCUGGGUCUGUCGCAUGAUGGGUCUGGGAAAGAUAUUGUUUCGGUGGGGGAUGGGCUCGCGGCCUAUCAGCUUGUUGGUGGGGUGAUGGCCUACCAAGGCGGUGACGGGUAGCCGGCCUGAGGGGGGGGACGGUCACACUGGGACUGAGACACGGCCCAGACUCGUACGGGAGGCAGCAGUGGGGAAUAUUGCACAAUGGGCGCAAGCCUGAUGCAGCGACGCCGCGUGAGGGAUGGAGGCCUUCGGGUUGUAAACCUCUUUCGCCAGUGAAGCAGGCCUGCUCCUUGUGGGUGGGUUGACGGUAGCUGGAUAAGAAGCGCCGGCUAACUACGUG